rnacentral:rRNA from 1 species
CACUAUCGUUAACUGAAUACAUAGGUUAACGAGGCGAACCGGGGGAACUGAAACAUCUAAGUACCCCGAGGAAAAGAAAUCAACCGAGAUUCCCCCAGUAGCGGCGAGCGAACGGGGAGCAGCCCAGAGUCUGAAUCAGCUUGUGUGUUAGUGGAACGGUCUGGAAAGUCCGACGGUACAGGGUGAUAGUCCCGUACACCAAAAUGCACAGGUUGUGAACUCGAAGAGUAGGGCGGGACACGUGGUAUCCUGUCUGAAUAUGGGGGGACCAUCCUCCAAGGCUAAAUACUCCUGACUGACCGAUAGUGAACCAGUACCGUGAGGGAAAGGCGAAAAGAACCCCGGCGAGGGGAGUGAAAAAGAACCUGAAACCGUGUACGUACAAGCAGUGGGAGCACCUUCGGGUGUGACUGCGUACCUUUUGUAUAAUGGGUCAGCGACUUAUAUUCUGUAGCAAGGUUAACCGUAUAGGGGAGCCGCAGGGAAACCGAGUCUUAACUGGGCGUUAAGUUGCAGGGUAUAGACCCGAAACCCGGUGAUCUAGCCAUGGGCAGGUUGAAGGUUGGGUAACACUAACUGGAGGACCGAACCGACUAAUGUUGAAAAAUUAGCGGAUGACUUGUGGCUGGGGGUGAAAGGCCAAUCAAACCGGGAGAUAGCUGGUUCUCCCCGAAAGCUAUUUAGGUAGCGCCUCGUGAAUUCAUCUUCGGGGGUAGAGCACUGUUUCGGCUAGGGGGUCAUCCCGACUUACCAACCCGAUGCAAACUACGAAUACCGAAGAAUGUUAUCACGGGAGACACACGGCGGGUGCUAACGUCCGUCGUGAAGAGGGAAACAACCCAGACCGCCAGCUAAGGUCCCAAAGUCAUGGUUAAGUGGGAAACGAUGUGGGAAGGCACAGACAGCCAGGAUGUUGGCUUAGAAGCAGCCAUCAUUUAAAGAAAGCGUAAUAGCUCACUGGUCGAGUCGGCCUGCGCGGAAGAUGUAACGGGGCUAAACCAUGCACCGAAGCUGCGGCAGCGACACUAUGUGUUGUUGGGUAGGGGAGCGUUCUGUAAGCCUGCGAAGGUGUGCUGUGAGGCAUGCUGGAGGUAUCAGAAGUGCGAAUGCUGACAUAAGUAACGAUAAAGCGGGUGAAAAGCCCGCUCGCCGGAAGACCAAGGGUUCCUGUCCAACGUUAAUCGGGGCAGGGUGAGUCGACCCCUAAGGCGAGGCCGAAAGGCGUAGUCGAUGGGAAACAGGUUAAUAUUCCUGUACUUGGUGUUACUGCGAAGGGGGGACGGAGAAGGCUAUGUUAGCCGGGCGACGGUUGUCCCGGUUUAAGCAUGUAGGCUGGUUAUCCAGGCAAAUCCGGAUAAUCAAGGCUGAGGUGUGAUGACGAGGCACUACGGUGCUGAAGUAACAAAUGCCCUGCUUCCAGGAAAAGCCUCUAAGCAUCAGGUAACAUCAAAUCGUACCCCAAACCGACACAGGUGGUCAGGUAGAGAAUACCAAGGCGCUUGAGAGAACUCGGGUGAAGGAACUAGGCAAAAUGGUGCCGUAACUUCGGGAGAAGGCACGCUGGUGUGUAGGUGAAGUCCCUGCGGAUGGAGCUGAGACCAGUCGAAGAUACCAGCUGGCUGCAACUGUUUAUUAAAAACACAGCACUGUGCAAACACGAAAGUGGACGUAUACGGUGUGACGCCUGCCCGGUGCCGGAAGGUUAAUUGAUGGGGUUAUCCGUAAGGAGAAGCUCUUGAUCGAAGCCCCGGUAAACGGCGGCCGUAACUAUAACGGUCCUAAGGUAGCGAAAUUCCUUGUCGGGUAAGUUCCGACCUGCACGAAUGGCGUAAUGAUGGCCAGGCUGUCUCCACCCGAGACUCAGUGAAAUUGAACUCGCUGUGAAGAUGCAGUGUACCCGCGGCAAGACGGAAAGACCCCGUGAACCUUUACUAUAGCUUGACACUGAACAUUGAGCCUUGAUGUGUAGGAUAGGUGGGAGGCUUUGAAGCGUGGACGCCAGUCUGCGUGGAGCCAACCUUGAAAUACCACCCUUUAAUGUUUGAUGUUCUAACGUUGGCCCCUGACCGGGGUUGCGGACAGUGUCUGGUGGGUAGUUUGACUGGGGCGGUCUCCUCCCAAAGCGUAACGGAGGAGCACGAAGGUUAGCUAAUCCUGGUCGGACAUCAGGAGGUUAGUGCAAUGGCAUAAGCUAGCUUGACUGCGAGCGUGACGGCGCGAGCAGGUGCGAAAGCAGGUCAUAGUGAUCCGGUGGUUCUGAAUGGAAGGGCCAUCGCUCAACGGAUAAAAGGUACUCCGGGGAUAACAGGCUGAUACCGCCCAAGAGUUCAUAUCGACGGCGGUGUUUGGCACCUCGAUGUCGGCUCAUCACAUCCUGGGGCUGAAGUAGGUCCCAAGGGUAUGGCUGUUCGCCAUUUAAAGUGGUACGCGAGCUGGGUUUAGAACGUCGUGAGACAGUUCGGUCCCUAUCUGCCGUGGGCGCUGGAGAAUUGAGGGGGGCUGCUCCUAGUACGAGAGGACCGGAGUGGACGCAUCACUGGUGUUCGGGUUGUCAUGCCAAUGGCACUGCCCGGUAGCUAAAUGCGGAAGAGAUAAGUGCUGAAAGCAUCUAAGCACGAAACUUGCCCCGAGAUGAGUUCUCCCUGAGACUUUAAGUCUCCUGAAGGAACGUU